rnacentral:rRNA from 1 species
AACGAACGCUGGCGGCAGGCUUAACACAUGCAAGUCGAGCGCCCCGCGAGGGGAGCGGCAGACGGGUGAGUAACGCGUGGGAACGUGCCCUUUGCUACGGAAUAGCUCCGGGAAACUGGAAUUAAUACCGUAUGAGCCCUACGGGGGAAAGAUUUAUCGGAAAAGGAUCGGCCCGCGGUGGAUUAGCUAGUUGGUGGGGUAAAGGGCUACCAAGGCGACGAGCCAUAGCUGGGCGGAGAGGGUGAUCAGACACAUUGGGACUGGGACACAGCCCAAACUCUUACGGGAGGCAGCAGUGGGGAAUAUUGGACAAUGGGCGCAAGCCUGAUCCAGCCAUGCCGCGUGAGUGAUGAAGGCCUUAGGGUUGUAAAGCUCUUUCACCGGAGAAGAUAAUGACGGUAUCCGGAGAAGAAGCCCCGGCUAACUUCGUGCCAGCAGCCGCCGUAA